UACAUGGGGUGCAAACGUUGCUCGGAAUUAUUGGGCGUAAAGCGUCCGCAGGUGGCACCUCAAGUCUGCUGUCAAAGACCGGGGCUUAACCCCAGAAAGGCAGUGGAAACUGAAGUGCUAGAGUGCAGUAGGGGUAGAGGGAAUUCCCGGUGUAGCGGUGAAAUGCGUAGAGAUCGGGAAGAACAUCGGUGGCGAAAGCGCUCUGCUGGACUGCAACUGACACUCAGGGACGAAAGCUAGGGGAGCGAAUGGG
rnacentral:rRNA from 1 species